AUGAUCUCCGCGGAGAGGAGCCAGUCGCAGAGCCCGCGGUCGCCCGGGGCGGCGGCCGGGGCGCCGUUCCUGUCGAUCUGCGUCACGGAUCCCGUCAAGAUGGGCACCGGCGUCCAGUCCUACAUCUCCUACCGCGUCAUCACCAAGACUAACCUACCUGAAUUCGAGGGAGCAGAGAAAAUUGUUAUCCGGCGUUAUAGUGAUUUUGAGUGGCUGCACGAUCGGCUAGCUGAGAAGUACAAAGGCAUUUUUAUACCUCCUCUUCCAGAGAAGAAUGCAGUUGAGAAAUUCCGGUUUAGCAAAGAAUUCAUUGAAUUGAGGCGCCAAGCUUUGGACCUAUUCAUCAACAGACUAGCUUCACACCCUGAACUUAAGCAAAGCGAAGAUUUGAGGACAUUUUUGCAGGCAGAUGAAGAGAAAAUGGAUAGAGCAAGGUCUUAUGAGACUGGUAUAUUUAAGAAGCCGGGAGAUUUCAUACAGAUGUUUAAGGAUGUACAGUCAAAGGUCAGUGAUGUUGUUCUGGGAAAAGAAAAGCCAGUGGAAGAAUCUACUCCUGAAUAUGAGAAGCUUAAACAUUAUAUAUUUGAGCUAGAAAAUCAUCUAGCAGAGGCCCAGAAACAAGCAUUUCGCCUUGUAAAAAGGCACAGAGAACUUGGGCAAUCUUUGGUGGACUUUGGGAAAGCGAUUAAGCUUUUAGGCGCCUGUGAAGGGGAUUCGUUGGAGAAGGUGUUUUCUGAAGUUGGUUCGAAGUCAGAAAUGUUGUCAAUAAAGCUGCAAAGAGAGGCAGACAACCUUCUCUUUAACUUUGAAGAGCCUUUGAAAGAUUAUGUGCGUGCUGUGCAGUCAAUAAAGGCGACUAUGCUUGAUCGAGCCAAUGCUUUCAGGCAGCACUUUGACUUGGACCAGGAGAGGAAGUAUAAAGAGCUUAACCUUUCUUUUUACCCUGAGAAGUUUAUUCUGUACUAUUACCUGGAAAAUUUCUCAUCCUAUUCUUACUGCAGUGAAAAAAUGAAGUUCAUGAACCCUGAGAAGUUUACCGAGUCAGAAACUGAGUUCAGCGAGUUGAAAGCAGCCAGUGAGGAGGCUACGAAGAGGUACGAGCACAUAGUUAGUGUAAUGAACGAGGAGCUUGCACGAUUCCAGGAGCAGAAAACAGCUGAUAUUGGACUUGCAUUCCAUGAGUUUGCCAAAGGUCAAGCAAAGUUGGCUAAAGAUAUUGCUGAUGCGUGGCGUAGCGUCCUCCCAAAGCUAGAGGCGUGUUCCAGUUCAUAA
rnacentral:rRNA from 1 species